rnacentral:rRNA from 1 species
UGGGGAAUAUUGGACAAUGGGGGAAACCCUGAUCCAGCGACGCCGCGUGUGUGAAGAAGGCCUGCGGGUUGUAAAGCACUUUUAGUGGGGACAAAAAGCCACCGGCUAAUACCGGGUGGUCUUGAUUUAACUCACAGAAAAAGCACCGGCUAACUCUGUGCCAGCAGCCGCGGUAAUACAGAGGGUGCGAGCGUUAAUCGGAAUUACUGGGCGUAAAGCGCGCGUAGACGGUUUUGUAAGUCAGAUGUGAAAUCCCCGGGCUCAACCUGGGAACUGCAUUUGAUACUGCAUUGCUAGAGUACGGUAGAGGGAAGCGGAAUUUCCGGUGUAGCGGUGAAAUGCGUAGAUAUCGGAAGGAACACCAGUGGCGAAAGCGGCUUCCUGGACCAGUACUGACGUUCAUGUGCGAAAGCGUGGGGAGCAAACAGG